rnacentral:rRNA from 1 species
ACGAACGCUGGCGGCAGGCUUAACACAUGCAAGUCGAGCGCCCCGCAAGGGGAGCGGCAGGACGGGUGAGUAACGCGUGGGAAUCUACCCUUUUCUACGGAAUAACGCAGGGAAACUUGUGCUAAUACCGUAUGUGUCCUUCGGGAGAAAGAUUAUCGGGAAAGGAUGAGCCCGCGUUGGAUUAGCUAGUUGGUGGGGUAAAGGCCUACCAAGGCGACGAUCCAUAGCUGGUCUGAGAGGAUGAUUCAGCCACAUUGGACUGAGACACGGCCCAAAACUCCUACGGGAGGCAGCAGUGGGGAAUAUUGGACAAUGGGCCGCAAGCCUGAUCCAGCCAUGCCGGCGUGAGUGAUGAAGGCCCUAGGGUUGUAAAGCUCUUUCACCGGAGAAGAUAAUGACGGUUAUCCGGAGAAGAAGCCCCGGCUAACUUCGUGCCAGCAGCCGCGGUAAUACGAAGGGGGCUAGCGUUGUUCGGAAUUACUGGGCGUAAAGCGCACGUAGGCGGAUCGAUCAGUCAGGGGGUGAAAUCCCAGGGCUCAACCCUGGAACUGCCUUUGAUACUGUCGAUCUGGAGUAUGGAAGAGGUGAGUGGAAUUCCGAGUGUAGAGGUGAAUGAAAUUCGUAGAUAUUCGGAGGAACACCAGUGGCGAAGGCGGCUCACUGGUCCAUUACUGACGCUGAGGUGCGAAAGCGUGGGGAGGCAAACAGGAUUAGAUACCCUGGUAGUCCACGCCGUAAACGAUGAAUGUUAGCCGUCGGGCAGUAUACUGUUCGGUGGCGCAGCUAACGCAUUAAACAUUCCGCCUGGGGAGUACGGGUCGCAAGAUUAAAACUCAAAGGAAUUGACGGGGGCCCCGCACAAGCGGUUGGAGCCAUGUGGUUUAAUUCGAAGCAACGCGCAGAACCUUACCAGCCCUUGACAUCCUGUGUUACCCGUAGAGAUAUGGGGUCCACUUCGGUGGCGCAGAGACAGGUGCUGCAUGGCUGUCGUCAGCUCGUGUCGUGAGAUGUUGGGUUAAGUCCCGCAACGAGCGCAACCCUCGCCCUUAGUUGCCAGCAUUUAGUUGGGCACUCUAAGGGGACUGCCGGUGAUAAGCCGAGAGGAAGGUGGGGGAUGACGUCAAGUCCUCAUGGCCCUUACGGGCUGGGCUACACACGUGCUACAAUGGUGGUGACAGUGGGCAGCGAGCACGCGAGUGUGAGCUAAUCUCCAAAAGCCAUCUCAGUUCGGAUUGCACUCUGCAACUCGAGUGCAUGAAGUUGGAAUCGCUAGUAAUCGCGGAUCAGCAUGCCGCGGUGGAAUACGUUCCCGGGCCUUGUACACACCGCCCGUCACACCAUGGGAGUUGGUUUUACCCGAAGGUAGUGCGCUAACCGCAAGGAGGCAGCUAACCACGGUAGGGUCAGCGACUGGGGUG